AGAGUUUGAUCAUGGCUCAGGAUGAACGCUGGCGGCGUGCCUAACACAUGCAAGUCGAACGUGAGAGAGUAGCAAUAUUCUUGAAAGUGGCGAACGGGUGAGUAACACGUGGGUAACCUGCCCUGAAGUGGGGGAUAACAACUAGAAAUGGUUGCUAAUACCGCAUGAGGCUGAGAUAGCGGGAGUUAUUUCAGCGAAAACUCUGGUGCUUCAGGAGGGGCCUGCGGCCGAUUAGCUAGUUGGCGGGGUAAGAGCCCACCAAGGCGACGAUCGGUAGCUGGUCUGAGAGGACGAUCAGCCACACGGGAACUGAGAAACGGUCCCGACUCCUACGGGGGGCAGCAGUGAGGAAUAUUGGGCAAUGGGCGAAAGCCUGACCCAGCAACGCCGCGUGGAGGACGAAGGCCUUCGGGUCGUAAACUCCUUUUACGGGGGAAGAGGAAGGACGGUACCCCGAAAAUAAGUCACGGCUAACUACGUGCCAGCAGCCGCGGUAAUACGUAGGUGACAAGCGUUAUCCGGAAUUACUGGGCGUAAAGCGCACGCAGGCGGCGCAUUAAGUCUGACGUGAAAUCUCUCGGCUUAACCGGGAGGGGUCGUUGGAGACUGGUGUGCUUGAGGCGAUGAGAGGGGUGUAGAAUUCCCGGUGUAGUGGUGGAAUGCGUAGAUAUCGGGAGGAAUACCAGUGGCGAAAGC
rnacentral:rRNA from 1 species